rnacentral:misc_RNA from 1 species
AACGCACGAGACCUGCGGACCUGCGGAGGGAUCAUUACAGGACUCGCAAGACUCCUACAACCCUGUGAACCUACUAUACGAACGUUGCUUCGGCGGGUGCGCCCCGGGGAUUCGUUCCCGCGGCGCGUCAGCCCGCCGGCAGCCUACAAAUUCUGUUUCUUUGCGUUGGCAUCUCGAGAGAAACAAAUAAGUUAAAACUUUCAACAACGGAUCUCU